GACGAACGCUGGCGGCGUGCUUAACACAUGCAAGUCGAACGGUGAAGCGCCUUCCUUUUUGGUGGGUGGGGAUGAGUGGCGAACGGGUGAGUAACACGUGAGUAACCUGCCCCCUUCUUCUGGAUAACCGCAUGAAAGUGUGGCUAAUACGGGAUAUUCUGGGUCUGUCGCAUGAUGGGUCUGGGAAAGAUAUGGUGUCGCUGGGGGAUGGGCUCGCGGCCUAUCAGCUUGUUGGUGGGGUGAUGGCCUACCAAGGCGAUGACGGGUAGCCGGCCUGAGAGGGUGGACGGUCACACAGGGACUGCGACGCCGCCUAGACUCCUACGGGAGGCAGCAGUGGGGAAUCCUGCACAAUGGGCGCCAGCCUGAUGCAGCGCCGCCGCGUGAGGGAUGGUGGCCUUCGGGUUGUGAACCUCUUUCGCCAGUGAAGCAGGCCUGCCUCGUUUGUGCGUGGGUUGACGGUAGCUGGAUAAGAAGCGCCGGCUAACUACGUG
rnacentral:rRNA from 1 species